rnacentral:lncRNA from 1 species
UAAUAAGUAAAUACUGUUGUGUAUUAUUCCUCAGCUCAAGGCUGGUUUAAAUAGGAAGAGUACAAACAUAAAAGGAAAUAAUAGAUAAGCUUAGAAUCUCCUAGAAAUAACAAACUAGGAAACUAAAUAUUUUCCAACACCCCCCCUCAAGUUGGUGCAUAGAUAUCUAUCAUGCCCAACUUGCCGAUCAAAUGCUCAAA